rnacentral:rRNA from 1 species
GAUCCUGGCUCAGGAUGAACGCUAGCGGCAGGCCUAACACAUGCAAGUCGAGGGGUAACAGGUGUAGCAAUACAUGCUGACGACCGGCGCACGGGUGAGUAACGCGUAUGCAACCUACCUUUAACAGGAGGAUAGCCCCGAGAAAUCGGGAUUAAUACUCCAUAAUAUUAUUGAACCGCAUGGUUUAAUAAUUAAAGUUUCGGCGGUUAAAGAUGGGCAUGCGUGACAUUAGUUAGUUGGUGAGGUAACGGCUCACCAAGACAGCGAUGUCUAGGGGUUCUGAGAGGAUUAUCCCCCACACUGGUACUGAGACACGGACCAGACUCCUACGGGAGGCAGCAGUGAGGAAUAUUGGUCAAUGGUCGAAAGACUGAACCAGCCAUGCCGCGUGCAGGAUGAAUGCGCUAUGCGUUGUAAACUGCUUUUCUACAGGAAGAAACCUACCCUCGUGAGGGUAGCUGCCGGUACUGUAGGAAUAAGCAUCGGCUAACUCCGUGCCAGCAGCCGCGGUAAUACGGAGGAUGCGAGCGUUAUCCGGAUUUAUUGGGUUUAAAGGGUGCGUAGGCGGAACUUUAAGUCAGUGGUGAAAUCCUGCGGCUCAACCGUAGAACUGCCAUUGAUACUGAUGUUCUUGAAUGUAGUUGAGGUAGGCGGAAUGUGUAAUGUAGCGGUGAAAUGCUUAGAUAUUACACAGAACACCGAUUGCGAAGGCAGCUUGCUAAACUAUGAUUGACGCUGAUGCACGAAAGCGUGGGGAGCGAACAGGAUUAGAUACCCUGGUAGUCCACGCUGUAAACGAUGAUCACUCGUUGUUUGCGAUAUAUUGUAAGCGACUGAGCGAAAGCAUUAAGUGAUCCACCUGGGGAGUACGGUCGCAAGACUGAAACUCAAAGGAAUUGACGGGGGCCCGCACAAGCGGAGGAACAUGUGGUUUAAUUCGAUGAUACGCGAGGAACCUUACCUGGGUUUAAAUGUAGAUUGCAUGGGGGGGAAACUCUCCUUUCCUUCGGGACUAUUU